GCGGGUUCCCUGGCCAUGCCCAGCGGGCCGAGGGAAAGGCUCCGACGGGGCUGCCCGGGUCCUGGCGCACGUCUGCGGACCGACCCUGGGCAUGAAAAGGUCACAGCCGCCAGGGCUGCGUCUCCGACGGUGGCCACCCUAGGUGUGCCGAUCCCGAGAAGCCGGGACCCCGGGUAACCGGCUGCUCAGCGAAGCCUGCCCCCUCCUCGAGUCCGACGGCAGGGCUUCCCGGUCCUGGGAACCCUGUCUGGGCGCUGCUGACCCAUCUCUCUUGUCGGAUGUCAGAGGGGCUAAUGUGGUUUCCAAAACUGGGAGAGAGGACGAAAGGAAGAGCCUGCGCUCUGUACUUGCUUCAAGGAGACGCAAGAAUCAGAGAACUGGCCCCCGCCCAAGACUGUAAGUGAUGGUCCAAGGAUGGGGUGUACCUGUGGGAACUUUGUGUUGCCUGAAGAGGACCCUGGUUUCAGGACUGGGGUCACACAGUACAGGUGCCCUGGCUGAUGGGCGCAGCCUCACCAGGAACUGCCAAGGUGGUCAUACCCCAAGAGGCCUUCAGGUGUGGUUGGUAGCGAAGGAGGGGCCUCUUUGCCUCAGGUGGAACAGCUUUGCAGUGGCAGUCAUGCUCUGUGGCUGCCCGUGGGAUCAGGCUGAGUUUUCUCUGUCCUCCAGAAAUCUUUAUGAGUAGCUGCUCAAAAGGAUGGGAAGCACUUGGCGUAAUAGUCCUAAGAAAAUCAUCCUGUCUCAACCAGAGCUUGAUCUUCUGCCUGCUGCUCUCAGGCUUGAUCAUGAGACUUGCUUUGGCCAACAACCUGCGAGUGGAGGUGAUAUUUGCUGUUUCUGGGCAGAAGCUCUAAGAGCUAGCCCAUAGUUCUCCACGUCCUCUCCCUGAAUCUGUCUUUGUUAGGAUGUCAGCUUGGGUUCUCAGUGAUUCAAAGCUGGUUGUUGACCCAGGAUGGAUGUGCACGAUUUUUAUUGUAUUCUUGCACAGAGAGUACAAGAGCAAUAUCAAGAAACACACAGCUCUAAGAUUCAUAAGUUGAACUCCAGCCCCCAGCCUGGCCGCGUUUGGAGAUGGGAAUUCUUAGGAAGUUAAGUGAGCUCUAAGGGUGGGGUCCCCGCCUCAUAGGAAUAGUGUCUUCUACGAGGAGACACCAGAGGGCGCUCUCGAUGCUCCCACUCCGAGGAAAGGCGAGGGGAGGACCCAGCGAGAAGGUGACCGGCGGCCUGCAAGGGGAAAGAGCCCUCAUCAGGAAUUGCAUCAGCCAGCACCUUGAUCUUGGACUUCUAGCCUUCAGAACUAUGAGGAAAUGAAUUUCUGCUGUUUAUGUCACUCGAUCUACAGUAUUUUGUCAUAACAGCCCAAAAUGCAAUUCAUACAAAAGGAAGUAUUUCAGAGAAGACUAUCAUGACUUUUUUUUGGCCAAGCCUGUGGAAGUUCCUUGGCCAGCAGUAGCCCUGUGAUCAGUGACAAAGCCAAGUCCUUAACCUCUAGGGCACCAGGGUUUAUGGUGAAACUGGAGCAGUGAAUUCUGGUGGAAUUACUUGGGAAUACAGGCAUAUGCAUGACAGUCUGGGGAAGCCAUGUUUGUGUUGUUCGAGGUGAAGAAUUAUCAUCAAUAUGCUGCUUACAUCAUAGGCUGUCCAGUGAAGAUGAAGUUUCCAACAAGGGCCUAGAAGCUCAUGAGCAUAAAGUGCUGGUGCCCUCUCAGGAAGGCUGUGAGCUGGAAGUCACUGCCAGAGAUCGAAUCCACAACCUCAUGGUUCCUAGUCAAAUUCAUUUCUGCUGCGCCAUGACCGGAACUCCGGAUUCUGUGUUUUUAAUGAAUGCACCUGAGGAAUUUUUAUGAUGGUAAGUUUGGUAAACACUGCUUUAGUCCCGCCCAGGUUGGGAUCAGAAUUCUCUUACCCAAAAGGCUGGGCAAGAUUGAGAAGCAGGGCUUCUGGUUUCAGAGGGACAUACAAGCAGUCUGUUAGGAGGCAUCCUGGAGCUAGGAUGCUGUCUGGGGGAGCGGGCUGCCACUUCCUGGGUGCUGGAUUUAGAGGACUGAGGUGUUCACAGUGAGGCUCCGGUGCUCAUGGGAACCGAGGUGACCCUGAGGGAGAGAAUGGCAGUCACGCAUCCCAGCCACAGGUGAGGGCUCUUGACGCAAACGGAAGAUUUAGGCUGGGUAGGAUUCCUAUCUCAUGGCCCAGGGAGGCUGUGGGGAAAGGCCGCUCACUCGUGGGUCAACAGCAGGGGGCGUCUCUCCUGAAAAGGAUCUUGUUCUUGGAUGAUAACCACUGGGGUGAACAGACGGUCCUUAGGAAACCAGAGCUCACCACGGAGACUAGACAGGCAGCGAGGUAACCAGUGUGUUUCAAGCCUUUCUCGUUGGGGUCCAGAUGCGAAAGGAGCUGGUGUCCUUGAAGUUCACGGUCUUGAGUUCAUCAGGGUGGCGGUGGGUGUGCCCUGGGAUAGCUGUCCCUAAGAAGAAGGGAGGACCUGAGCCGGGUGGCGCCGAGGAGCCCCUUCCCGAGGAGCCCCUUCCCACCCGGGAGCCCGCCGCCCUGGAGGGUGCCCUUGGGGUGGAUCUUCCUCAGGUGAGACCAGAGCAGGCAGGUCGAGGUGGGCGUGAGAUGUAAGGGAAUGAUUGGUUGUUUGAUCGGCCCAGAGUGGGACUUAUUGGACCGAGAGGUAAUGCUUUUGGCUCUGAUGGUUCCUAGAAACGGAAUGUUUGUGGCCCCACCGGCCCCCUAUUCAUAGUUUGAAACCUAAUCCCCAAUGUGAAGGUGUUUGGAGGCCCUGGGAGGCGAUUAGGGCAUCAGGGUGGGGCCGAUGCGGAUGGAUUCGUGCCCUUGUAAGCGGAGGAAGAGUCGGAGUUCUCCCAUCGCUGCCUGAGGACGAGGCAAGAACACGGGCUCUGGGAACAGUGAGCUGGCCCUCACCAGACUCAGAAUCUGCUUGAUCCUGGACUUUCCAGCCUCUAGGACUGUGAGAAAUAAAUGUCUGCUGUUUAUAA
rnacentral:lncRNA from 1 species